UACGAAGGGGGCUAGCGUUGCUCGGAAUCACUGGGCGUAAAGGGUGCGUAGGCGGGUCUUUAAGUCAGGGGUGAAAUCCCGGGGCUCAACCUCGGAACUGCCUUUGAUACUGCAAAUCUCGAGUCCGGAAGAGGUGAGUGGAAUUCCUAGUGUAGAGGUGAAAUUCGUAGAUAUUAGGAAGAACACCAGUGGCGAAGGCGGCUCACUGGUCCGGUACUGACGCUGAGGUGCGAAAGCGUGGGGAGCAAACCGG
rnacentral:rRNA from 1 species